rnacentral:lncRNA from 1 species
UGUGAUUGUCGCAAGCAAGCAGGUGGCAGUUUGAAGGGAGUGCAUGUAUGUAUCCAACAUCCGACGGAAAGAAUUUGAUGAACGACACUUCUGCCUUCCUUUCCGGGAGAGCUGACGGAGGGAUGACUACACUUGUUAAAAUUAGCGUGCCGUAAGUGAAUGACGUGAGUCGGCAGCUUAAACUUCCGUCCGGCUGCAACGAUGUCACCACGACGUGCGUCACCUAUCAGUGUCAACGCGUCACCUAUUAGUGACAGGGCUGAGUGACAGUGGGACAGUCAACCCCGUCAGCUGCUGUUAGAGGAUGACAAUCGGUGUCGGUGAUCGGUAAAAUGCGACAAAGGCGCGACACGAGCGCCAAGGUUUGUCACCGCGUGAAUUCAUGUCACGCGCGCGUGAGGACCACCCCGAGCGAUUACGCGCCGUGACGUCACGCCGACACGGUCCGGGGACGCCGAUUGUCGCAGCAGGGCGUUAUUGCCUUGUACACACGUGUG